UGGGGAAUAUUGGACAAUGGGCGAAAGCCUGAUCCAGCCAUGCCGCGUGUGUGAAGAAGGUCUUCGGAUUGUAAAGCACUUUAAGUUGGGAGGAAGGGCAGUAAGCGAAUACCUUGCUGUUUUGACGUUACCGACAGAAUAAGCACCGGCUAACUCUGUGCCAGCAGCCGCGGUAAUACAGAGGGUGCAAGCGUUAAUCGGAAUUACUGGGCGUAAAGCGCGCGUAGGUGGUUCGUUAAGUUGAAUGUGAAAGCCCCGGGCUCAACCUGGGAACUGCAUCCGAAACUGGCGAGCUAGUGUAGGGCAGAGGGUGGUGGAAUUUCCUGUGUAGCGGUGAAAUGCGUAGAUAUAGGAAGGAACACCAGUGGCGAAGGCGACCACCUGGGCUCAUACUGACACUGAGGUGCGAAAGCGUGGGGAGCAAACAGG
rnacentral:rRNA from 1 species